rnacentral:lncRNA from 1 species
ACCACUCAGGGUACCUCUCCAGUUUCUCCCUGUGUUCCUCCUUCUGUGCUGCCAUGUCCUCCUCCCUCCUCAUUUGCCUUCUCUUCUGACUAGAUGUUCAUCUUUCUGGAGGCAUCUGCCAGUCUCUGGGGUCUCUUAGUCCUCAGGAGUAAAGACAGAAAGCGUCAUGUUCCUGCAAAGAGAAAAAUAAGGAAAAAAUCUGCAAAACAUUGAAGACUCAUGACCCACUUUAAAAACAUAACUGGAUACAUCACAUGAACUCAAGACCAUGACUAUGGAGGAAGAUUUAACACUUGGCAACUCUUACAACAACAACAACAGCAACAGGGAAAAACAACAACAACAACAACCGAAGAGUGCAAAAAGAACUAAUGCAUUCUCUAGGUAUGCCUGGAUGGAGCCUCUAAGACCUAACAGGAUGUCUGAGAUUCCAGGGAAGUGGCCUGUGAUCUGUCAGUAAACAAAUAAGAAGCUAAUACAGCUUUGUUGUGUUUUCUGAUUGGCAUGGUUCUGAACUAUCUCCUACUUGUAGUUGCAGACAAAGAAACAGGAGAUGAAUUACCAUGUUCUAGGACUUUGUGUUCCUUUCCAAUUCAAACUGCAAUAAGAAAUAAAAAUGGUUAGGCUUCCAGUGUGUAGAUUAUAUAACGUGUCUCCUCUCUUUUGUGGUUUUGUCUUGUUUUGUUUUUUGUCUUUUAAAGAGAAAAAUGAAUAAA